rnacentral:rRNA from 1 species
CACAAACAGCUAGGAUGUUGGCUUAGAAGCAGCCAUACAUUUAAAGAGUGCGUAAUAGCUCACUAGUCGAGUGAUCCUGCGCCGAAGAUAAACGGGGCUCAAACUUACCACCGAAGCUUUGGAAUUAGUAUAACUAAUUGGUAGAGGAGCAUUCUAUACAGGUAGAAGGAGGCGCGUAAGCAAAUCUGGACGGUAUAGAAGAGAGAAUGUUGGCAUGAGUAGCGUAAGGCGGGUGAGAAUCCCGUCCGCCGAAAAUCUAAGGUUUCCUGAGGAAGGUUCGUCCUCUCAGGGUAAGUCGGGACCUAAGCCGAGAGCGAACGCUGUAGGCGAUGGAUAACAGGUUGAUAUUCCUGUACCACCAAGGAUUGUUUGAAUGAAGUGGGGACACAGAAGGAUAGAUUGAGCACGCCGUUGGUUGAGCGUGUCCAAGCAGUAAGGCUUGAAAGUAGGCAAAUCCGCUUUCUAAAAGGCUGAGCUGUGAUGGGGUGGUCGAAUGACCGGUAGCAAUCGAUUUCACGCUGUCAAGAAAAGCCGCUAAUGAGAUCCAAGGUGCCCGUACCGCAAACCGACACAGGUAGAUGAGGAGAGAAUCCUAAGGUGAGCGAGCGAACUAUUGUUAAGGAACUCGGCAAAAUAACCCCGUAACUUCGGGAGAAGGGGUGCCUGCUUCGGCAGGCCGCAGUGAAGAGGUCCAGGCAACUGUUUACCAAAAACACAGGUCUCUGCUAAAGCGAAAGCUGAUGUAUAGGGGCUGACGCCUGCCCGGUGCUGGAAGGUUAAGGGGAAGUGUUAGGGCAACCGAAGCACAGAACUUAAGCCCCAGUAAACGGCGGCCGUAACUAUAACGGUCCUAAGGUAGCGAAAUUCCUUGUCGGGUAAGUUCCGACCCGCACGAAAGGCGUAAUGAUCUGGACACUGUCUCAACAAUAGGCUCGGUGAAAUUGUAGUACCGGUAAAGAUGCCGGUUACCCGCAGCAGGACGGAAAGACCCCGUGGAGCUUCACUGUAGCUUGAUAUUGAUUUUCGGCAUUGCAUGUACAGGAUAGGUGGGAGACGUUGAGUUCAGCACGCCAGUGUUGGAGGAGUCACCGUUGGGAUACCACCCUUGUAAUGUUGGAAAUCUAACCUAGUACCGUGAUCCGGUACAGGGACAGUGUCAGGUGGGCAGUUUGACUGGGGCGGUCGCCUCCUAAAGAGUAACGGAGGCGCCCAAAGGUUCCCUCAGCGCGGACGGAAAUCGCGCGAAGAGUGCAAAGGCAAAAGGGAGCUUGACUGCGAGACAUACAGGUCGAGCAGGGACGAAAGUCGGGCUUAGUGAUCCGGUGGUUCCGAGUGGAAGGGCCAUCGCUCAACGGAUAAAAGCUACCCCGGGGAUAACAGGCUUAUACCCCCCAAGAGUUCACAUCGACGGGGGUGUUUGGCACCUCGAUGUCGGCUCGUCUCAUCCUGGGGCUGGAGUAGGUCCCAAGGGUUGGGCUGUUCGCCCAUUAAAGAGGUACGCGAGCUGGGUUCAGAACGUCGUGAGACAGUUCGGUCCCUAUCCGCUGUGGGCGUUGGAAAUUUGAGAGGAGCUAUCCUUAGUACGAGAGGACCGGGAUGGACAUACCUCUGGUGUACCGGUUGUUCUGCCAAGGGCAUAGCCGGGUAGCUACGUAUGGAAGGGAUAAGCGCUGAAAGCAUCUAAGUGCGAAGCCCACCUCAAGAUAAGAUUUCCUCCGAAAGGUAAGACCCGUGAGAGACUAUCACGUUGAUAGGUCAGAGGUGUAAGUACGGUAACGUAUUCAGCUGACUGAUACUAAUAGGUCGAACACUUGACCAA